rnacentral:pre_miRNA from 1 species
AAAAAGUGUAGCAGCCAACGUUUAACCGUUUAUCUUAUUUAAACUUUUUUAUAAUUAGUAUUUUUUUUUAUUUUUAGAUGAUAAAAUAUAAAUAAUACUUUAUAUAUCACUAAUUUUUUUAAAAAUUUAUAAAAUUUUUAAAUAAAACGGAUGGUAAAAUAUUUGACACGGAAACUUGUAUCUGUACUUAAA